rnacentral:rRNA from 1 species
UCAAUAAGCGGAGGAAAAGAAACUAACAAGGAUUCCCCUAGUAACUGCGAGUGAAGCGGGAAAAGCUCAAAUUUAAAAUCUGGCGGUCUUUGGCCGUCCGAGUUGUAGUCUGGAGAAGUGCUUUCCGCGCUGGACCGUGUAUAAGUCUCUUGGAACAGAGCGUCAUAGAGGGUGAGAAUCCCGUCUUUGACACGGACUACCAGUGCUUUGUGAUGCGCUCUCAAAGAGUCGAGUUGUUUGGGAAUGCAGCUCAAAAUGGGUGGUGAAUUCCAUCUAAAGCUAAAUAUUGGCGAGAGACCGAUAGCGAACAAGUACCGUGAGGGAAAGAUGAAAAGCACUUUGGAAAGAGAGUUAAACAGUACGUGAAAUUGCUGAAAGGGAAACGCUUGAAGUCAGUCGCGUCUGCCGGAACUCAGCCUUCCUCUUGGUUGGUGCACUUUCUGGUAGACGGGCCAGCAUCGAUUUUGACCGUCGGAAAAGGGCUGGAGAAAUGUGGCACCUUUUGGUGUGUUAUAGUCUUCAGUCGCAUACGGCGGUUGGGAUCGAGGACCGCAGCGCGCCGCAAGGCAGGGGUUCGCCCACUUUCGCGCUUAGGAUGCUGGCAUAAUGGCUUUAAACGACCCGUCUUGAAACACGGACCAAGGAGUCUAACAAACCUGCGAGUGUUUGGGUGGAAAACCCGAGCGCGUAAUGAAAGUGAAAGUUGAGACCUCUGUCGUGGAGGGCAUCGACGCCCGGACCUGACGUUCUCUGACGGAUCCGCGGUAGAGCAUGUUUGUUGGGACCCGAAAGAUGGUGAACUAUGCCUGAAUAGGGUGAAGCCAGAGGAAACUCUGGUGGAGGCUCGUAGCGAUUCUGACGUGCAAAUCGAUCGUCAAAUUUGGGUAUAGGGGCGAAAGACUAAUCGAACCAUCUA